rnacentral:rRNA from 1 species
UACGUAGGGGGCUAGCGUUGUCCGGAAUCAUUGGGCGUAAAGCGCGUGUAGGCGGUCCGGUAAGUCCGCUGUGAAAGUCGGGGGCUCAACCUCGGAUGCCGGUGGAUACUGUCGGGCUUGAGUACGGAAGAGGCGAGUGGAAUUCCUGGUGGUAGCGGUGAAAUGCGCAGAUAUCAAGGAGGAACACCAAUUGCGAAGGC